rnacentral:snRNA from 1 species
AUCUUUGCGCUUGGGGCAAUGACGCAGCUAGUGAGGUUCUAACCGAGGCGCGUCUAUUGCUGGUUGAAAACUAUUUCCAAACCCCCUCUAUGGCUUGGGUUUAUCCUAAGCCUUAGAGAAUAACUCUAAGGCUUGGGUUUGAAGAAAGC